AUUGAACGCUGGCGGCAUGCCUUACACAUGCAAGUCGAACGGCAGCACGGGGCAACCCUGGUGGCGAGUGGCGAACGGGUGAGUAAUACAUCGGAACGUGCCCAGUAGUGGGGGAUAGCUCGGCGAAAGCCGGAUUAAUACCGCAUACGAUCUCUGGAUGAAAGCGGGGACUCGCAAGAGCCUCGCGCGAUUGGAGCGGCCGAUAUCAGAUUAGCUAGUUGGUGGGUAAAGCCCACCAAGGCGACGAUCUGUAGCUGGUCUGAGAGGACGACCAGCCACACUGGAACUGAGACACGGUCCAGACUCCUACGGAGCAG
rnacentral:rRNA from 1 species